rnacentral:rRNA from 1 species
AGAUUGAACGCUGGCGGCAUGCCUUACACAUGCAAGUCGAACGGCAGCACGGGAGCAAUCCUGGUGGCGAGUGGCGAACGGGUGAGUAAUAUAUCGGAACGUGCCCAGUCGUGGGGGAUAACGUAGAGAAAUUUACGCUAAUACCGCAUACGAUCCAAGGAUGAAAGCGGGGGACUAGGCAG